UACAUGCAAGUCGAACGCUUCUUUUCCCACCGGAGCUUGCUCCACCGGGAAAAGAGGAGUGGCGAACGGGUGAGUAACACGUGGGUAACCUGCCCAUCAGAAGGGGAUAACACUUGGAAACAGGUGCUAAUACCGUAUAACAAUCGAAACCGCAUGGUUUCGUUUUGAAAGGCGCUUUACGGUGCCGCUGAUGGAUGGACCCGCGGUGCAUUAGCUAGUUGGUGAGGUAACGGCUCACCAAGGCCACGAUGCAUAGCCGACCUGAGAGGGUGAUCGGCCACAUUGGGACUGAGACACGGCCCAAACUCCUACGGGAGGCAGCAGUAGGGAAUCUUCGGCAAUGGACGAAAGUCUGACCGAGCAACGCCGCGUGAGUGAAGAAGGUUUUCGGAUCGUAAAACUCUGUUGUUAGAGAAGAACAAGGGUGAGAGUAACUGUUCACCCCUUGACGGUAUCUAACCAGAAAGCCACGGCUAACUACGUGCCAGCAGCCGCGGUAAUACGUAGGUGGCAAGCGUUGUCCGGAUUUAUUGGGCGUAAAGCGAGCGCAGGCGGUUUCUUAAGUCUGAUGUGAAAGCCCCCGGCUCAACCGGGGAGGGUCAUUGGAAACUGGGAGACUUGAGUGCAGAAGAGGAGAGUGGAAUUCCAUGUGUAGCGGUGAAAUGCGUAGAUAUAUGGAGGAACACCAGUGGCGAAGGCGGCUCUCUGGUCUGUAACUGACGCUGAGGCUCGAAAGCGUGGGGAGCAAACAGGAUUAGAUACCCUGGUAGUCCACGCCGUAAACGAUGAGUGCUAAGUGUUGGAGGGUUUCCGCCCUUCAGUGCUGCAGCUAACGCAUUAAGCACUCCGCCUGGGGAGUACGACCGCAAGGUUGAAACUCAAAGGAAUUGACGGGGGCCCGCACAAGCGGUGGAGCAUGUGGUUUAAUUCGAAGCAACGCGAAGAACCUUACCAGGUCUUGACAUCCUUUGACCACUCUAGAGAUAGAGCUUCCCCUUCGGGGGCAAAGUGACAGGUGGUGCAUGGUUGUCGUCAGCUCGUGUCGUGAGAUGUUGGGUUAAGUCCCGCAACGAGCGCAACCCUUAUUGUUAGUUGCCAUCAUUUAGUUGGGCACUCUAGCAAGACUGCCGGUGACAAACCGGAGGAAGGUGGGGAUGACGUCAAAUCAUCAUGCCCCUUAUGACCUGGGCUACACACGUGCUACAAUGGGAAGUACAACGAGUCGCGAAGUCGCGAGGCUAAGCUAAUCUCUUAAAGCUUCUCUCAGUUCGGAUUGUAGGCUGCAACUCGCCUACAUGAAGCCGGAAUCGCUAGUAAUCGCGGAUCAGCACGCCGCGGUGAAUACGUUCCCGGGGCCUUGUACACACCGCCCGUCACACCACGAGAGUUUGUAACACCCGAAGUCGGUGAGGUAACCUUUUUGGAGCCAGCCGCCU
rnacentral:rRNA from 1 species